AAAGGGUGCGUAGGCGGCCUGCUAAGUCUGGGGUGAAAGCCCGUUGCUCAACAGCGGAACGGCCCUGGAUACUGGUAGGCUUGAGUACAGACGAGGUUGGCGGAAUGGACGGAGUAGCGGUGAAAUGCAUAGAUACCGUCCAGAACCCCGAUUGCGAAGGCAACUGACUAGGCUGAUACUGACGCUGAGGCACGACAGCGUGGGGAGCGAACAGGAUUAGAUACCCUUGU
rnacentral:rRNA from 1 species